rnacentral:tRNA from 1 species
GCCCCGGUGGCUCAGCUGGUAGAGCAGUAGCCUCGUAAGCUACGGGUCGCGGGUUCGAAUCCCGCCCGGGGCUCCA